GCCCUCUUAGCACAGAAGGCAGCCCUUCAGUCUCAUAAUCUGAAGGUCUUGAGUUCGAACCUCAGAGAGGGUA
rfam:TPA: Bos taurus chromosome 2, whole genome shotgun sequence.